GGCCCGCCUCUUGCUCAUGCAACCCCGGGUAGCCAACGGCGGUUGCCCCCCAGACCCCGACAAAGACGUCGC
rnacentral:ncRNA from 1 species